rnacentral:rRNA from 1 species
UGAGGAAUAUUGGUCAAUGGGCGAGAGCCUGAACCAGCCAAGUCGCGUGAAGGAAGAAGGUUCUAUGGAUUGUAAACUUCUUUUGUAAGGGAAUAAAAAGAGUUACGUGUAACUUAUUGUAUGUACUUUACGAAUAAGGAUCGGCUAACUCCGUGCCAGCAGCCGCGGUAAUACGGAGGAUCCAAGCGUUAUCCGGAUUUAUUGGGUUUAAAGGGUGCGUAGGCGGUUUGAUAAGUCAGUGGUGAAAGUUUGCAGCUCAACUGUAAAAUUGCCAUUGAAACUGUCGAACUUGAGUGCAAAUGAGGUAGGCGGAAUGUGUUGUGUAGCGGUGAAAUGCUUAGAUACAACACAGAACACCAAUUGCGAAGGCAGCUUACUGGAAUGCAACUGACGCUGAGGC